CCUACGUGUGGCAGCAGUGAGGAAUAUUGGUCAAUGGACGAGAGUCUGAACCAGCCAAGUAGCGUGAAGGAUGACUGCCCUAUGGGUUGUAAACUUCUUUUAUAUGGGAAUAAAAUGUUCCACGUGUGGGAUUUUGUCUUUACCAUAUGAAUAAGGAUCGGCUAACUCCGUGCCAGCAGCCGCGGUAAUACGGAGGAUCCGAGCGUUAUCCGGAUUUAUUGGGUUUAAAGGGAGCGUAGGUGGAUUGUUAAGUCAGUUGUGAAAGUUUGCGGCUCAACCGUAACAUUGCAGUUGAAACUGGCAGUCUUGAGUACAGUAGAGGUGGGCGGAAGUCGUGGUGUAGCGGUGAAAUGCUUAGAUAUCACGAAGAACUCCGAUUGCGAAGGCUGCUCACUGGACUGCAACUGACACUGAGGCUCGAAAGUGUGGGUAUCAAACAGGAUUAGAUACCCCUGUAGUC
rnacentral:rRNA from 1 species